UACGGGGGGGGCAAGCGUUGUUCGGGAUUACUGGGCGUAAAGGGUUUGUAGGUGGCCCGCUAAGUCACACGUGAAAUCCCUCAGCUUAACUGGGGAACUGCGUGUGAGACUGGCAGGCUCGAGGGCAGGAGAGGAACGCGGAAUUCCAGGUGUAGCGGUGAAAUGCGUAGAUAUCGAGAGGAACACCUGCGGCGAAGGCGGGUUGCUGGGCUGACACUGACGCUGAUGCGCGAAAGCCAGGGGAGCGAACGGG
rnacentral:rRNA from 1 species